rnacentral:rRNA from 1 species
GACGAACGCUGGCGGCGUGCUUAACACAUGCAAGUCGAACGGAAAGGCCCUGCUUUUGUGGGGUGCUCGAGUGGCGAACGGGUGAGUAACACGUGAGUAACCUGCCCUUGACUUUGGGAUAACUUCAGGAAACUGGGGCUCAUACCGGAUAGGAGCUCCUGCUGCAUGGUGGGGGUUGGAAAGUUUCGGCGGUUGGGGCUGGACUCGCGGCUUAUCAGCUUGUUGGUGUGGUAGUGGCUUACCAAGGCUGUGACGGGUAGCCGGCCUGAGAGGGUGACCGGGCACAUUGGGACUGCGAUAGGGCGCAGACUCCUACGGGAGGCAGCAGGGGAGAAUAUUGCACAAUGGGCGGAAGCCUGAUGCAGCAAUGCCGCGUGCGGGAUGACGGCUUUCGGGUUGUAAACCGCUUUCGCCUGUGACGAAGCGUGAGUGACGGUAAUGGGUCAAGAAGCACCGGCUAACUACGUG